rnacentral:lncRNA from 1 species
CUGAAAUGGAUGCCCCUGACAGCUCCCUUUGAGUUCCUGUUCAUCUGAAGUACACCAGCUUUCUAGAUAUGCUGUCACUUUCCUUCUGCAGAGCCACAGUGGUGUCCUGUCUUCUCAGACCUCUUCUCACCUCAAAUCACUUAGGACUCGGCCACCAGACAGAUUUGGGAUUUCAGAACUUUUCAGAUGUUAGAAAGUUCUUUUCUAAAUGUGAUGAGGAAUUACGGAAUCAUAAAAUGGAAGCAGAGUUAAACUCAG